AUCUCUCUCAUUUCAAAACGAAAUUUGGUGAUUCAUAAUUCUAUGAACUCCUAGAACAUUUCUAAGUGUGGACUGACUAGAGGCAUCACAAUUGGGGUGCUCUAAGGAUCUCAAAUCGUGGCAAAACAGAAGCUGUUCGUGCAGUGGUCUAUAUCCUGGACAGUGUUCGUACCUUGCUGUUUUCAGUCAUUUUCUCCUACCUCACGAAGUCGUUUCUGAAACUACAAGUAAGGUAAAUAAACUUUAAUCUUUCCUCUUGAUUUUCAUUUUUGAAUGAAGUCGAUCCAAGGUUUCUAGAGCUUCCACCAUCCGUUUUAAUUUUACUGCACAAAAGUUACGUUUUCAGGAAUCUCAUGGACAAAUGUUGCCCUUCAUUAUGCGCAUACAACAUUUGACUAAAUGUUUCUUGCAAUCAAAUAUCUGAAAAAAGGCUUGAAUCUUACCUAAGCGAUUUUCAUGCAACUUUUGCUUGCUUUGUCACUGAAUUGUUUCAUUAAGUGAUUGCAUUGGUUGUUUCCUUAUCCAAUUUAUAUAAAGACAGAAAGUACAGUGACAUUUGGAUUUCUACUAAAUUUUUCUUUUUUUCAUUUUUACGUGAAAUUUAUCUGAUAACAACAUUAAAUGGGUAUAAAAAAAGUCUUUCAAUUUCCAACGCUGAAUGAACUUGUAAUUUAAAACAACGAUUUAUAUUCCCACAACUUGAAUUGAUAAUGCAUCAUGUUACAAGUAUCAACAUUUCAUGUCAGAAAUCAACAUCGAUAUGACAAUAAUUAUCAAUGGAGUGAGUGUAUAUACAUGACAGUAAUUAUGAUUGGAGGGAGUGUAUACAUGAGUUAUUUUCUCAUGUGGGCGCCAUUAUUAUUAUUUUUUUUAAUGUGAAUGUGUUGUUAAGUUUUAUGAUUUAAUAGAGUUAAAUUUCAAUACAUGAUAAAACCACGUGGUUUAAUAGUAUUAGUAUGGCUUAAUAAUUCCUCGGAUUUCAAUAAAGUUUAGAAUCCUGGACCAGAUCGGAACUCUAUAUAUAUACAGAUCACCAUCUAUUGCUACAUACAUAUUUUAAUUACUUGAUUUGGGAGGACUAGAAAUAAGUUAAGACAUUUUCCACAUUCUGUUUUUCACCAAAUUAAAUCUGUCCGAGUUACAUGAUAUGGUCAUGAUCGAGAUAUUGUGAAAAGCAGUGGUAAAGCUAAGAUUUGAUAUUAAAUUAGACUAAAACAACAAAAUAACAAUUAACUGAGAAAGCGGGAAUUUAUAUAAUUAUAUUUAAUAAACUAAAAAUAAAAGUAUCUACAUGAAAUUUUGAAGGUACUAGCAGGGGCAGCCCAGGAUAGCCCUCCGCUAGCUUUGCCAUUGAACCUAAUAAAAUAAAUGGAAAAAAAAAGGAUUUAAAUUUUAAAUAUUAGGGAAAUAUGUUUUUAAGAGUAUGAUUGAUUGAUUAAUCAAUCAAUUAAUUACGUAUAAUAAAUUACGACUUGAUUUUAGACGGCUAGAUAAUAGAAAUUUCAUUAAGAAAUGAGUUUAUUCCUCGGGUAAAUGCUCAUUUAGUUUUUAUAUUUUGACUUAAGUGUAUAUUUAAUCUAUAUAUUUAAAGUGUACCUUAAGACACCCUUAAUAUUAAAUAUGUUAUAUUCCUACCCUUAAUUUUUUUUGUCAUUACAAUAAUACCCUUGCAAUAAUAUUCUUGGAGAUUUAAUGAAAAAAUAUUAAUUUACGAAAUCAACCUUAAAAGUAAAAUAAAAAAUAUUGUAAAAUUUUUUGUCAUUUAUUUUACUUUUAGGAUUUAUUUUAUAAAUUAAUUUUUUUAUUAAUAAGUAUUAGUAAGAUUGAUGUAAGAGUAUUAAAUAUUGUUUAAAGUUGGUUAGUAUUAAUUAAUUUAUAAAAUAGUAAUUAGCAAAAUUGUUGCAAGGGCACAAAAAAGACCAAUUCUUUUAGAAUGAUAUUUAUUGGUUAAUUUUCUAAUAAACAAUUAUUUUUUAAUUUGCUAAUUAAUUUUUUUAAUAGAUAAAUAAAUAAUGUCAAAGAAUAUUAGGGAUGGCAAAAAUCCCCACGGGGACGGGUACCCUCGGGGAUUUUCCCCAUUCGGGGAGGGUACGGGGAUAAUUUUAUACCCAAUUUUUUAUUCGAGGAGGGGACGGGGAAAAUUUUUUACCCAAUUUUUUAUUCGGGGAGGAGACGGGGAUGAGGUGGAAUCCCCAUCCCCUACCCAUUUCCCCAUUUUAAUUUUUAAUUUUAUUUUUAUUUUUAAAAUUACUAAUAAAUAAAUAACAAAAUUAUAAAUAUUGGCAAGAUAUGAGUAGAAUUUUGGGUGUGUCAUGUAUCUUUGAUCCAAGGUAUAAAAAGAAGUUCAUUUAAUAUUACUUUUCUAUGGUUUAUGGUGGUGUUAAAGAGUUGUAUGUUGGGAAAGUGGUCACCCUUUGCCAGGAAUUAGUGGAAGAGUAUCAAUUGAAGUUUUCACCAACUGUUUAUUGCUUUGAUUAUACUGGUAGUAGUUCUUCUAUUAGAUCUACAUGGGAUUCUUAUAAGAAAGCAACCAAAUGGAUGACAGGUUUUGAUGAUUAUGUAAACAAUGGAGAUUGUGCAGUUGUUGCAGAUGAAUUAGAUUCAUAUUUGGAUGA
rnacentral:lncRNA from 1 species